rnacentral:lncRNA from 1 species
GUGCCGCUCCAGGCCCCCAGGGCUUCCCAGCGCAUUCUAGCUGGAGCCACAGUGACUCCUGGGACGCACCUGCCAGCUGCAGAUUCCAGCUGUGCUAUUUGCCUUCCAGGGACAUUCCGACUCAACCCACCCUAGGUGACCACCACCACGAUGUAAGCUGCCAUGCUGUGAAAGGUCCUGUGAAGAAGGGCAUCAAAAUGUGA